GAGCAAAAUGUUGGGUUCGUGCAGAAAAAAAGAGAUGAAGUGGCCUUUUCACCAAAAGAUCAGCAAUCCGUAGAAACAUUUCUUCAGCUUGAGAAGCACAAUAGAAAUACCCCAUUUACCCAAUAUUACAAAAGCAUCAUGGAAAAGGCCGUCGCGAGAAAUCUGGCAUCGGAUGAAAAGGUUAACAAAGUAAACUUCCUAACAAAGUAAAAAGCUUUCAAAUAAGACGGCUGAGGAGGCGUUUGUUAACGGUGGACAUUUAGAGAAAAUUGAAUCUGACUAGAGAUGGUGGGAAAGAUAGAAAAAUGGUGAACCAUUUAAAAGUUUUGGGUGAUAAAAAGUGUUUUAGUUCCACCUUUUCUUGGUAUCAAAUUCAGAGAGUAGCUUUCUUUUCUUUUUUACUUUACCAGUUUUGGCAUAUUGGUUUAGGUUUUUAGAAAUUCUGAUUGUAAAGAAGACAUGGCCAAUGAUCUCAUGGAUCUGAACAGAUUUUAAGUCUGUUGACCAUGUCAAAUGAGUUUUUUAUGCAU